rnacentral:rRNA from 1 species
CGUAGGGGCAAGCGUUGUCCGGAAUUAUUGGGGCGUAAAAGCGCGCGCAGGCGGUCUUUUUAAGUCUGGGGUAUAACCUUGGGGGCUCAACCCUGAGUUGCCCUGGAAACUGGGAGACUGAGAGUGCAGGAGAGGAAAGCGGAAUUCCACGUGUAGCGGUGAAAAUGCGUAGAGAUGUGGAGGAACACCAGUGGCGAAGGCGGCUUUUCUGGCCUGUAACUGACGCUGAGGCGCGAAAAGCGUGGGGAGCAAAACAGGAUU